CGGGUGGUAAUGCCGGAUGCUCCAGUUGAUCGCAUGGUCUUCUGGGAAAGCUUUCGCGGUAUGGGAUGGGGUCGCGUCCUAUCAGCUUGACGGCGGGGUAACGGCCCACCGUGGCUUCGACGGGUAGCCGGCCUGAGAGGGCGACCGGCCACAUUGGGACUGAGAUACGGCCCAGACUCCUACGGGAGGCAGCAGUGGGGAAUAUUGCACAAUGGGCGCAAGCCUGAUGCAGCGACGCCGCGUGAGGGAUGGAGGCCUUCGGGUUGUAAACCUCUUUUAUCGGGGAGCAAGCGAGAGUGAGUUUACCCGUUGAAUAAGCACCGGCUAACUACGUGCCAGCAGCCGCGGUAAUACGUAGGGUGCAAGCGUUAUCCGGAAUUAUUGGGCGUAAAGGGCUCGUAGGCGGUUCGUCGCGUCCGGUGUGAAAGUCCAUCGCUUAACGGUGGAUCCGCGCCGGGUACGGGCGGGCUUGAGUGCGGUAGGGGAGACUGGAAUUCCCGGUGUAACGGUGGAAUGUGUAGAUAUCGGAAAGAACACC
rnacentral:rRNA from 1 species